ACGGUGAGUAACACGUAUCCAACCUGCCGUCUACUCUUGGGCAGCCUUCUGAAAGGAAGAUUAAUACAAGAUGGCAUCAUGAGUCCGCAUGUUCACAUGAUUAAAGGUAUUCCGGUAGACGAUGGGGAUGCGUUCCAUUAGAUAGUAGGCGGGGUAACGGCCCACCUAGUCUUCGAUGGAUAGGGGUUCUGAGAGGAAGGUCCCCCACAUUGGAACUGAGACACGGUCCAA
rnacentral:rRNA from 1 species